UUCACUCAUUUCGCCUCGUUUCACCAUGAAAGAACAACAUCGGCGACACUAGCGACAUCUAGUAAUGAGUUUUGAAUCUUUAGUUGGUUGCACAGUCAAGUCACAGACAGACAUGACAGUACACGUCAAAAAAGUUUAACAACGGAGAUCGGAUAGCAAGUUAACUGUUUUUAAAUAAUUUCAGCUGAAGUUUUGAUGUACCUUGCCAACUAGGUGCUUGUGACUGACAAUAGAAAUGAAAUGAUCUAAUCCAAAAAUGCAAGCUCACAACCCAUGUCUUCUGAAGAAAAAUCAUUUCUGUUGCAGUUGUAAAACUUCAAGAUAUUGAUGCCUUCGCCAGAUCUAAUUCUUUGUUGCCAUCUAUUUGCGGACAACAGCAAGAAAAUGCUGCUACUCAAGAUUUUGUGGUGACCACCACUUUGUUCUAAUUUAGUACAAGGUUAAUCCCUUUCUGCUUUUAUAGUUGUUUGGAAACCGACGAGAGCAUGCUGUCAUUCAAGACUGAUGAAAUAUUGUAGUUAGCUAAAUUACAAGUGCAUAUCUGGGCUCUCUUCUUUUCUGUGGCCCCGUUUCCCUAACUAACCACUAACCAACGCCCGCCGGUGGUCACUCACCCG